UGGGAAAACCAUCAGCAGAGCCUACAGGAC
rnacentral:piRNA from 1 species